rnacentral:rRNA from 1 species
GUGAGGAAUAUUGCGCAAUGGAGGCAACUCUGACGCAGCCAUGCCGCGUGCAGGAAGAAGGCGCUACGCGUUGUAAACUGCUUUUAACCGGGAAGAAACCCCAGGACGUGUCCUGGGUUGACGGUACCGGAGGAAUAAGCACCGGCUAACUUCGUGCCAGCAGCCGCGGUAAUACGAAGGGUGCAAGCGUUAUCCGGAUUCAUUGGGUUUAAAGGGUGCGUAGGCGGAGCGUUAAGUCAGUGGUGAAAUCCUGCAGCUUAACUGUAGACUUGCCAUUGAUACUGGCGCUCUUGAGUGCGCCUGAAGUGGGCGGAAUGUGCCGUGUAGCGGUGAAAUGCUUAGAUAUGGCACAGAACACCAAUUGCGAAGGCAGCUCACUAAGGCGAUACUGACGCUGAGGCACGAAAGCGUGGGGAUCGAACAGGAUUAGAUACCCGGGUAGUCC